AUUGAACGCUGGCGGCAGGCCUAACACAUGCAAGUCGAGCGGUAGCACAGGAGAGCUUGCUCUCUGGGUGACGAGCGGCGGACGGGUGAGUAAUGUCUGGGAAACUGCCUGAUGGAGGGGGAUAACUACUGGAAACGGUAGCUAAUACCGCAUGACCUCGCAAGAGCAAAGUGGGGGACCUUCGGGCCUCACGCCAUCGGAUGUGCCCAGAUGGGAUUAGCUAGUAGGUGRGGUAAUGGCUCACCUAGGCGACGAUCCCUAGCUGGUCUGAGAGGAUGACCAGCCACACUGGAACUGAGACACGGUCCAGACUCCUACGGGAGGCAGCAGUGGGGAAUAUUGCACAAUGGGCGCAAGCCUGAUGCAGCCAUGCCGCGUGUGUGAAGAAGGCCUUAGGGUUGUAAAGCACUUUCAGCGAGGAGGAAGGGUUCAGUGUUAAUAGCACUGUGCAUUGACGUUACUCGCAGAAGAAGCACCGGCUAACUCCGUGC
rnacentral:rRNA from 1 species